AAGUGCAGCUCCCACCAGUCUAACUUCAACACAAACCAUGUUUCCUGCAUACCUGCUGGUGCUGCUGGCAGGGGCCUCCUGUGUGUUCUGUCAGACUGAGCUCACACAGCCAGGCUCUAUGACCCUGCAGCCUGGACAGCCUCUGACCCUCUCCUGUAAGGUCUCUGGGUAUUCUUUAACCAGCACCAGCUACUGUACAGGUUGGGUAGGACAGCCUGCAGGAAAAGCACUGGAGUGGGUUGGAUAUAUAUGCGGCAGUGGUAACAUAUAUUAUAGUGAUAAGAUGAAAAACAAGUUCAGUAUCUCCAGAGACACGUCCAGCAGCACAGUAACUUUAACAGGACAGAGUCUGCAGACUGAAGACACAGCUGUGUAUUAUUGUGCUCGAAGACCACAGUGAUACAAAACAACACAG